UACGUAGGGGGCUAGCGUUGUCCGGAAUCAUUGGGCGUAAAGCGCGUGUAGGCGGUUCGGUAAGUCCGCUGUGAAAGUCGGGGGCUCAACCCUCGGAAGCCGGUGGAUACUGUCGAGCUAGAGUACGGAAGAGGAGAGUGGAAUUCCUGGUGUAGCGGUGAAAUGCGCAGAUAUCAGGAAGAACACCAAUGGCGAAAGCAGCUCUCUGGGACGGUACUGACGCUGAGGAGCGAAAGCGUGGGGAGCGAACAGG
rnacentral:rRNA from 1 species